rnacentral:rRNA from 1 species
UGGGGAAUUUUGGACAAUGGGCGAAAGCCUGAUCCAGCAAUGCCGCGUGUGUGAAGAAGGCCUUCGGGUUGUAAAGCACUUUUGUCCGGAAAGAAAUCCUCUGGGUUAAUACCUCGGGGGGAUGACGGUACCGGAAGAAUAAGCACCGGCUAACUACGUGCCAGCAGCCGCGGUAAUACGUAGGGUGCAAGCGUUAAUCGGAAUUACUGGGCGUAAAGCGUGCGCAGGCGGUUUGCUAAGACCGAUGUGAAAUCCCCGGGCUCAACCUGGGAACUGCAUUGGUGACUGGCAGGCUAGAGUAUGGCAGAGGGGGGUAGAAUUCCACGUGUAGCAGUGAAAUGCGUAGAGAUGUGGAGGAAUACCGAUGGCGAAGGCAGCCCCCUGGGCCAAUACUGACGCUCAUGCACGAAAGCGUGGGGAGCAAACAGGAUUAGAUACCCUGGUAGUCCACGCCCUAAACGAUGUCAACUAGUUGUUGGGGAUUCAUUUCCUUAGUAACGUAGCUAACGCGUGAAGUUGACCGCCU